rnacentral:tRNA from 3 species
GCUGAAAUAGUUUAAAGGUUAAAACCUACCAUUCAUGACGGUAAGAUAAAAGUUCAAUUCUUUUUUUCAGCU